rnacentral:rRNA from 1 species
UAGUCCACGCCGUAAACGAUGAUAACUAGCUGCUAGGGCCCACAGGGCUUUGGUGGCGCAGCUAACGCAUUAAGUUAUCCGCCUGGGGAGUACGGUCGCAAGAUUAAAACUCAAAGGAAUUGACGGGGGCUCACACAAGCGGUGGAGCAUGUGGCUUAAUUCGAAGCAACGCGAAGAACCUUAUCCUGGGUUUGACAUGCACGGAUUAGCCUCCUGAAAGGGAGGUGACACCCUCGGGUGGAACGUGCACAGGCGCUGCAUGGCUGUCGUCAGCUCGUGCUGUGAAGUGUCGGGUUAAGUCCCUUAACGAGCGCAACCCCUGUCGUUAGUUGCCAGCACUUAAAGGUGGGGACUCUAGCGAGACUGCCGGCGUCAAGUCGGAGGAAGGUGGGGGACGAC